rnacentral:lncRNA from 1 species
CUCAUCAUAUUUGUUUUAAUAUAUAGACUUCCCACUUCAGUCACCAUAUUUGUUUUAGUAUAUCCAACGAAGAGAAAAAUAGGGUCUUCCUUAUCCAACUCAUCAUUUCAAAGAGAAGUGGGAACUAAAGCAAAAUAGGGUUUACUGCAGACAGGUAGUAUCAGCCAAACAAUCACAGGAGACUCUUUCAUAUUUUUCAGAUCAAUGAGUUGAUGCAGGCGAAA